rnacentral:rRNA from 1 species
AGUGUGAAGGCAUAGAGCCUUCACUUUUGUACACCGUAAGGUGGUGCACGAAUAAGGACUGGGCAAGACCGGUGCCAGCCGCCGCGGUAAUACCGGCAGUCCGAGUGAUGGCCGAUCUUAUUGGGCCUAAAGCGUCCGUAGCUGGCUGAACAAGUCCGUUGGGAAAUCUGUCCGCUUAACGGGCAGGCGUCCAGCGGAAACUGUUCAGCUUGGGACCGGAAGACCUGAGGGGUACGUCUGGGGUAGGAGUGAAAUCCUGUAAUCCUGGACGGACCGCCGGUGGCGAAAGCGCCUCAGGAGAACGGAUCCGACAGUGAGGGACGAAAGCUAGGGUCUCGAACCGGAUUAGAUACCCGGGUAGUCCUAGCUGUAAACGAUGUCCGCUAGGUGUGGCGCAGGCUACGAGCCUGCGCUGUGCCGUAGGGAAGCCGAGAAGCGGACCGCCUGGGAAGUACGUCUGCAAGGAUGAAACUUAAAGGAAUUGGCGGGGGAGCACUACAACCGGAGGAGCCUGCGGUUUAAUUGGACUCAACGCCGGACAUCUCGCCAGCCCCGACAGUAGUAAUGACGGUCAGGUUGGUGACCUUACCCGAGGCUACUGAGAGGAGGUGCAUGGCCGCCGUCAGCUCGUACCGUGAGGCGUCCUGUUAAGUCAGGCAACGAGCGAGACCCGCACUCNUAAUUGCCAGCAGUACCCUUUGGGUAGCUGGGUACAUUAGGUGGACUGCCGCUGCCAAAGCGGAGGAAGGAACGGGCAACGGUAGGUCAGUAUGCCCCGAAUGGGCUGGGCAACACGCGGGCUACAAUGGUCGAGACAAUGGGAAGCCACUCCG